rnacentral:rRNA from 1 species
GUACACCCGGUCCCAUACCGAACCCGGUCGUUAAGCCCACCAGCACGGAUGGUACUGCCCUGGUAACGGGGUGGGAGAGUACGCCACUGCCAACC